ACGGGUGAGUAAUGUCUGGGAAACUGCCCGAUGGAGGGGGAUAACUACUGGAAACGGUAGCUAAUACCGCAUAACGUCGCAAGACCAAAGUGGGGGACCUUCGGGCCUCACACCAUCGGAUGUGCCCAGAUGGGAUUAGCUAGUAGGUGGGGUAAUGGCUCACCUAGGCGACGAUCCCUAGCUGGUCUGAGAGGAUGACCAGCCACACUGGAACUGAGACACGGUCCAGACUCCUACGGGAGGCAGCAGUGGGGAAUAUUGCACAAUGGGCGCAAGCCUGAUGCAGCCAUGCCGCGUGUAUGAAGAAGGCCUUCGGGUUGUAAAGUACUUUCAGCGGGGAGGAAGGCGGUGGAGUUAAUAACUUCACCGAUUGACGUUACCCGCAGAAGAAGCACCGGCUAACUCCGUGCCAGCAGCCGCGGUAAUACGGAGGGUGCAAGCGUUAAUCGGAAUUACUGGGCGUAAAGCGCACGCAGGCGGUCUGUCAAGUCGGAUGUGAAAUCCCCGGGCUUAACCUGGGAACUGCAUUCGAAACUGGCAGGCUAGAGUCUUGUAGAGGGGGGUAGAAUUCCAGGUGUAGC
rnacentral:rRNA from 1 species